rnacentral:misc_RNA from 1 species
GAUGAAGAACGUAGCGAAAUGCGAUAAGUAAUGUGAAUUGCAGAAUUCAGUGAAUCAUCGAAUCUUUGAACGCACAUUGCGCCCGCCAGUAUUCUGGCGGGCAUGCCUGUUCGAGCGUCAUUACAACCCUCAGGCCCCCGGGCCUGGCGUUGGGGAUCGGCGGAGCCCCCCGUGGGCACACGCCGUCCCCCAAAUGCAGUGGCGGUCCCGCCGCAGCUUCCAUCGCGUAGUAGCUAACACCUCGCGACUGGAGAGCGGCGCGGCCACGCCGUAAAACACCCAACUCUUCUGAAGUUGACCUUGAAUCAGGUAGGAAUACCCGCUGAACUUAAGCAUAUCAAUAAGCGGAGGA